rnacentral:rRNA from 1 species
UACGAGGGGGGCGAGCGUUGUUCGGAAUUAUUGGGCGUAAAGGGUGCGUAGGCGGUUCCGCAAGUCCUGUGUGAAAUCUUCGGGCUCAACUCGAAGUCUGCACGGGAAACUGCGGGGCUUGAGUGUGGGAGAGGUGAGUGGAAUUCCCGGUGUAGCGGUGAAAUGCGUAGAUAUCCGCAGGAACAUCCGAGGCGAAAGCGGCUCGCUGGAUCGCAACUGACGCUGAGGGACGAAAGCUAGGGGAGCAAACAGG